GAAGCAACGCGAAGAACCUUACCAGGUCUUGACAUCCUCUGACAACCCUAGAGAUAGGGCUUUCCCUUCGGGGACAGAGUGACAGGUGGUGCAUGGUUGUCGUCAGCUCGUGUCGUGAGAUGUUGGGUUAAGUCCCGCAACGAGCGCAACCCUUGAUCUUAGUUGCCAGCAUUCAGUUGGGCACUCUAAGGUGACUGCCGGUGACAAACCGGAGGAAGGUGGGGAUGACGUCAAAUCAUCAUGCCCCUUAUGACCUGGGCUACACACGUGCUACAAUGGACAGAACAAAGGGCUGCGAGACCGCAAGGUUUAGCCAAUCCCACAAAUCUGUUCUCAGUUCGGAUCGCAGUCUGCAACUCGACUGCGUGAAGCUGGAAUCGCUAGUAAUCGCGGCUCAGCAUGCCGCGGUGAAUACGUUCCCGGGCCUUGUACACACCGCC
rnacentral:rRNA from 1 species